rnacentral:rRNA from 3 species
GUUGACCUCGGAUCGGGUAGGGAUACCCGCUGAACUUAA